rnacentral:rRNA from 1 species
CCUACGGGAGGCAGCAGUGGGGAAUAUUGGACAAUGGGCGAAAGCCUGAUCCAGCAAUGCCGCGUGAGUGAUGAAGGCCUUAGGGUUGUAAAGCUCUUUUACCAGGGAUGAUAAUGACAGUACCUGGAGAAUAAGCUCCGGCUAACUCCGUGCCAGCAGCCGCGGUAAUACGGAGGGNGCUAGCGUUGUUCGGAAUUACUGGGCGUAAAGCGUACGUAGGCGGUUAUUCAAGUCAGAGGUGAAAGCCUGGAGCUCAACUCCAGAACUGCCUUUGAAACUAGAUAGCUAGAAUCUUGGAGAGGUGAGUGGAAUUCCGAGUGUAGAGGUGAAAUUCGUAGAUAUUCGGAAGAACACCAGUGGCGAAGGCGACUCACUGGACAAGUAUUGACGCUGAGGUACGAAAGCGUGGGGAGCAAACAGGAUUAGAUACCCUGGUAGUCCACGCCGUAAACGAUGAUAACUAGCUGUUCGGGCUCUACGAGCUUGAGUGNGCAGCUACGCAUAAGUUAUCCGCCGUGGGAGGUACGGUCGCGAAGAAUUAAACUACGAAAGAAAGUUAGACGGCGUGAGACGUAGCCGAACGGACGACCGAACGAAGGGGAAGGUAAGGGAGG